UACAGAGGGGGCGAGCGUUGUUCGGAAUUACUGGGCGUAAAGGGCGCGUAGGCGGCCUUCUAAGUCGAACGUGAAAUCCCCGGGCUCAACCCGGGAACUGCGUCCGAUACUGGGAGGCUUGAAUCCGGGAGAGGGAUGUGGAAUUCCAGGUGUAGCGGUGAAAUGCGUAGAUAUCGGGAGGAAUACCAGUGGCGAAGGCGACUUUCUGGGCUGUUCCUGACGCUGAGGCGCGAAAGCCAGGGGAGCAAACGGG
rnacentral:rRNA from 1 species